GGUUGUGCAGGAGGAGGUGAUUUAAGAUCCAGAUUACCCAGCUGCCCUGACUCAUGCAUACUUGGAGGGAUAAAGUCUGAGAGCCUGGGCAUGUCAGGACUCGGGCCCACGCUGGCCUGAGGGAUCAGGGAAAGACUGGAGCUCAGAGUGGGAGUUCUGGAGCAGCAGCAAGGCUCCCAGAUUCUCCUCUUGAUUCCCCUCCAACUUGGGGAUUUCUCCUGCUGGAUUUUAAAGCUGUGAUUUUAAAGGAAGCUGUUCUGGCCUGGGCAGGUACCCUUUCUGACCCAUUUAUUGAGUGACCCAAGAAGCUGUCAAUUAUGAGUCGAGCCCAGAACAAGAGGGAGCUCUAUAAGAAGUCCAGACUGCUGCUCAAGCAACUGUGCCUCUAGGACCAUCUAGUCCAGAAGAUCCAAUGGUGCUUAAAAUGUUGAUGAUAGAUAGGGAUGCUCUUUAGAGCCUUUUUCAGAUUCCUAUGGAUCAGAAUGUGACUCCUUACGGUUUUGGAAUAAAGCCCUGCCAUCCUCUGUGAAUAACUAUCCUUUUAAGAAAUAGCUUUUGUUUUGCUACUGGGUCUUAGUAGAAAUUGAAUUCUUGGUCAUCAGUCACUAAGUUACCACGUGACCUGAGCUGCCUAUUGCUAGGUAUUGCCUGACCCACUGAGCCAUAAUGUUGAGCAUGCACAGAAGUACUUCAUUCUCAAAUGGGAGUGGUAUGUACGAAAUUGGACUUGAGCAGAACCUGAAGGCAUAGGCAUGUUUGCAUGAGCAAGUGGUCCAUAUACUCAUAGCCCCUAUUCCUGAUAUAUUAUCUUCUCUCUCUUUACCUGCACCUGGCCGCUUGGGAAGCUCCUUGUGACCAGGUGAUGAGGGAAAAAAGACUCAGGCCUAUUCUGCAUGUGCUACCAGGAAGUGGACAGCUGAAGCACAACAGCCUCACUCUGGGAUGGCCCUAAAGGACAGUGGUAAAGGGAAAUCUUCCCCGUGCACAGAGUUUGGAGCACUGCACCUGAUUGUCCAUUUUGCUUGGAAGGAGAGAUGUGCAGAUGUACAUGUCUGCACAAGUUUAUGGGCCAUGGCUAAUACUUGGCUGGAAGGUCAAGAGAUUUGGAAGGAACAUGAUUGAAAAAUCAGUGACAGAGAGAUCUGGAGGAAAGCAGGUGGAAGGGAUGCGUCAUUCCAUGGACAGCGAUCCUUCUCCAGCAACUCCCGUCAUUGCCCAAUCGGCUCAUGAAUAAAGUGGCCAUGGUGGCAGAGAUGAAAGUUAUGCAGAGGCUCGACAACAUAAAUGUCUACUUACCAGGGCCCACCUGGCUGUGGCAGCUGCAGAGGGCCCAACCUGCUAACAGCAGAGGUCUACAGUGAGCCCCUGACAUGGCACCAUUCCCAGCUACUAACUAGCCACCUACUGGCAGGUUGAUUACAUUAGAUCAGAUUACUUCUCUCAUAGAAAGGGCAGUGAUUUGUUCUUAUUAGAAUAGACACUUACUCUGGAUAUAGGUUUGCCUUCUCUGCUCACAAUGUUUCUGCCCAAAGCACCACCAAAACCGUGUACAGAAUAACUUACUCACUAUUAUGGUAUUUCACACAGUGCCACUUCUGACCAAGAAAAUUACUUUACAGCAAAUGAGGUGCAGCAGUUUCUUAUAUAGUUCCCUGGUCUUACCAUGCUCCCCAUCACCCUGAAGCAGCUGGCUUGAUAGAAUGAUGCAACGGCCUUUUGAAGACUCAGUUAUGGUAACUCGUACAAGAUGCAAAGUAUGCUCUAAAUCAUCCAGUGUUUAUUUUUGUUUCUCCGACAGCCAGGAAUCAUGGGCCUGGGAAUAAAGGGUGGUUAUGGGAAAGGUUCCUCUCACUGUUAUCCCUGGUGAUCCACUAAACUUUUGCUUCCUGUCCCUGUGACAGUCUCUGCCUGUCUAGAAGUCUUAGCUUUAAAUGGAGGAGUGAUGAUUCUGUUGCACUGGACUGCUCCUGGACUCAUGCCAUGAAAUCAACAGGCAAAGAAGGGAGGGUUGCCUCUCAGUAUGCCCAUAUCCUAUGAUUAAGUUACAUCAACUCAAUUAACAGGACUGCUAAUGGCCCAGAGCCUUCAGAAAUGAAGAUUUUGUUCCCUUCACCUGGCAAGGAUUCCCAGCUAGCUGAAAUGUUUGCUGAAGACAAAGGGAAUAUGGAAUGGGAAGUGGAAAGGAGUAGUUACAAAUACCAGCUAUGACCACACGACCAGUUGCAUAUAGUACUUCUCACCUCCAGCCUGAGGCAGCAGAUGGGCCAGUAACUGCCCUGCCUCCCCCAUCCUUCUCCAGCUCCUCCAACUCCUGGGCCAGGUUUGUGUGUCCAGCUGUAUGAUGAAGGGACAUCCUGCAGUCAAGCCUUUUCUUGGACUUUAAUCUCCAGCAUGAGACGUGAAGACAGUAACCUUACAGACAUGAUUGAACCACACCCCACAAUUACAGAAGCCUCUCAACAGGUCUAGGUGAAGUUUGCUCCUCUGUCUGAUUUCCCCGAAGCCAGCAAGCUGGGUCACGUGGCUGGCUGACCUCCCAGCACCGCCUACCUCCACUGCAUGAGAUGCCAUCAAGAUCCCACCCAAAGGAGCCAGUCGUCCCGGAGAAACAAUGAGCAAUUCUUACAAGACACAGUGGAGCUCUGUUACUGUGGCACAGGAAGGCUCGAUAAGAUCUCCCAGCGGCAGCAUUCUUUUGUGUCAGCAGAGGCAAGUGGGAUGUUCCUUCUGCAGCUCUUGCGGGGCAAGAGGAAGCGGGCUUUGAAACACAAUGUUCAUUGAAAUCGGCUUUCAUCUAAGGAAUCCCGUGGUGGCUCCUGCUUCACGAUGUGCAUUCUGUCUACAGCAGAGCUCGCCUGAUGCAUUUCCGUUGUUUGUUCUGAGGGGAAGGUAGCACCUUUAUGAGACACACUUUUAUAGGUAAAGGGCAUCAUAUUGUGCAAGGCAAAGUGUUCUGUGUCAGGAUGUCUCCAGUGAGUCUGGAGCUGAGAAGGAACAUUAAAAAUAAAAUUGAAAAAAAAAAAAAAAAAAAAAAACACCCAAAGGCUCUGCAUCCUGGCUCACUGACGAAGCACUCGCUCUGUCAGCGGAGGAACGUAAAGCCAUCCGGAAGACUCUUGGACAGCACGCGCAUGCUUGGUGACUUUAGAAGCAGGAAUUAUUUGUUGCUUUAGUUAUUACAGUGGGCACAAUGCCACAGGCCACAAAUGGUGGUACUUAAGUAUGGUCUGAGCGCUGUGGGCCCAAUAGAACCUGUCCAGAAGCCAGGGGUCUCCAUUAUUCAUUGCGGGGCAAUCCUGGCUCUCUACAGACAAAAAUGGGGAGAGGAAGUAAUCCACAGUGUCAAAUCAUAGGUAAGAAGUUUCUCCAUCCUAUUGUCCUAGUUUCAUAGUUUAACAAUUCACCUUCUUUUCAGAGAAGAACAUUCUGGAUUCAAUAAAGAGUCUCUCUGAUUAAGAAGAGGUCUAAAUCAAUACCUGGAGAAACAAAUCAACACAAUUAAGUUCAUUUUUUCAUUCUUUCUCGACACCUCCUCUCAGCUAUCACUGCCCUUCCUUCUCUGCUCCACUCCAGCUGUACUACCAACUUACAAUGCAAAGGAAGCUAAACAAUUAACAAUGUGGAUAGGAGAGUGAACAUGAAACAUCUUUACUUUCAUAGUACUUUUAACUCUGCACUUUUUGUUUUCCUUUGACUUUCAAAAUAAGUUGGCAAAGUUAAGUAGGCAUUGUCUAUUUCAGCAGCAGUGGGAAUCAACAGAGAGACAGAACAAGGUUAGAGACCCUUGAUUCUCAUAAAGAGCUGGCAGCUAUACAUAAAGGAAAACUCAUGUGUGGAGUUCCUGGCCCAGGCCCUGUUCAUCAGGUUGGUUCCCCUAGGCAUGUGGACAGGUGAUCAGUCUCCAAUCUGACCAUCAAGGCUGACUUUUCAUCACCACCAGUGGGCUAAAGUCCUACAUAGGUCUGUGUGUUUAAGUGAAGAUAUAUAUAUAUAUAUGUAUAUAUAUAUAACAGAUAUACAAGGCGGUUCUGAUGUUGAAAAACCUGGAAGUUAUUUCUUGGAAUCCAGCGUAUUUGUUCUAGUCUAAAAAGAAAAGAUGUCAAUAUUAUACAUGACACAGAACACAAGAAAAUGACAAUCCAGGCAGUAAAUAUUCCAAGAAGGAAAGAAUCAAAAGAGUCCCAAGAAAUCAAAAUUGUAACUAAACUUUAUGACAAGGACCCCAAACAGCUCUUUAAAUGGCUUAUCUUUAGCUGAACUAACAACAGAACUCUUAAAUACCUGGAAAUUUUGUGGAGUCUUCUCUGGGAUAGUCUUAGGAAAGAAUUACCCCAAAUCUAGAUAUAGUAAAAGUUUCUGGUGGCCUUUCCCCUGCAUCUGAACUGAAGAGCUCAUUCCUGAUUACAAUAAGCUUCUGGAAAAGAUAAUUUAUAUAAACAGUUGGCUGGCUUUGGGUAGACAAUACACACGAAACUAACACUUUCUCAAUCUUUCCCUUCCCUCAAGCCUGGUUAAAAGAACAAAAUUAAAUUAAAUGAUUAAAAAAAAUGGAUAACUAGUGGCCACAACUUUGUAAAGGGGAUUCUUGCAUUGAGUAGGAUAUUCUGGGGUUCUUUCUAAUUUUAAGACUCUAUAGCUUUAAAAAUCCUAGGAGAAUAAUGAUAGUGCAUAUAAUUUCUGUAAAUAUAUUGGUGUACUCUGGGUUAGGACAACAUAAAUAAUAUCCAGAAUAGAUAUCACAUGUCAGGUUACAGCACAUCUAAUUCAGUUCAUUUUGUUAAUUUUUUUUCUUCAAGUUUUCUUGAGAUAUGAUUGACAUACUGCAUUGUAUAAGUUUAAGGUAUAUAGCACAAUUAUUUCACUUACAUACAUCAAGAAAUGAUAACCAUAAUACGUUUAGUGAACAUCCAUCAUCUCAUGUAGAUACAAAAUUAAAGAAAUAGAAAAAUAUUUUUUUUCCUUGUGAUGAGAACUGUUAGGAUUUACUGUGAACAAUUUUCAUACACAACACACAGCAGUGUUAAUUAUAUUUAUCAUGUUGUACAUUACAUCCCAAGUACUUAUUUAUCUUAUAACCAGAAGUUUUUACCUUUUGACUGCCUUCAUCCAAUUCCCCCUCCCCCCUGCCUAUGGUAACCACAAAUCUGAUCUUUUUCUAUGAAUAUGAGUGUUUGUUUUUGAAAUAUAGCUGAAAUACACUUUUUGAAAUAUAGUAACUAACAACACUAUGUUAGUUCCUGAUACACAACAUAGUGAUUUGUGAGUUUAUUUUAAUUCAGGCAAAAAGUAUGUGCCAAAUACCUGAUGUGUGCCCAGGACUAUAUAGCUUGCAGCAAAUAAAAAGAGGCAUUUCUGCCCUCAAUGACAUUACAGUGUGGUCUGAAAGCAAUCAUAUAAAUAGAUGAUUUUGUUAUGAUAUGAUAUAUGCUGAGUGGAGUGAUAUCCAUGUUGGCAUGGGCUCUAAUGAAGGCCCUAAUUCACUUUAUGAAGAAACAGAAGAAUAAACUUUCUUUAUAAAGAAAGUAAUGCCUAAGAUUAUGCUUAAAGCUUGAAAAGUAAUUAUCUAGGUGAAGAAGAUAGGGAAGGAGAUUCUAAAUGGAAGGACUAAUAUGAGAAAAGCAAGGGGACCUGAAACAUAAGGCACGUAUGAAAAACCACAAAUAACUUGGUAUUUCUGAAAUGUUGACGUUAAGUCAGACAUGAGGCAGGAUACAUCUGGGCCAGGCAUGAAGACUGUUCUGAGGUUUUAAAGCUUCUGUUGGGGUGCAGAUAAAAUCAGAAGAGGAUUUAGGUUUUAGCACUUGCUGAUACUAAGACUCCAUGAAUUAGAUGGUGUGAGAUUAGGGAUCAAACAAACUGAAAAUACGAGACUGAGGUUAUGCUAAGAUAAAAGGGUUUAUUUUAGGUGAUGAAAGAGACAACUAGAAUUAAAGGCAGGGGUAAAACAUUGACAUCGUGGUCAGUUGGCUAUGGCCUCUAAGGAGAACUUUGAAGAGCAUUAGUGAUGUGACUCUUUUUCUUUCUUUCUUUCUUUCUUUCUUUCUUUCUUUCUUUCUUUCUUUCUUUCUUUCUUUCUUUCUUUCUUUCUUUCUUUCUUUCUUUCUUUCUUUCUUUCUUUCUUUCUUUCUUUCUUUCUUUCUUUCUUUCUUUCUUUCUUUCUUUCUUUCUUUCUUAGAAACCAACAGGACAUUUACAAAGGCCUGGGUCCUGAUUGCAAUUCUAUGCACCUAAGAAUAAAUGAGAAAGAAAGCAGAACACAAGAAAAAAGGGAAAGAGAGAGGAUCAAACUCUGCAGGAUAUAUGUAACAUAUUUUUGUGGCCUCAAAUUAUGGGAUUAAAAAUGGAAUGAAAAGGAAAUGGUUUUGAAGGUAGAUGAUUGAAUACAAGCUCUUGAACUUGCUCCAUGGGAAGUAACAAAAGCAAAGAUGUCUUAAAUUUCUGGGUAUUUAGAGAAUCAGAGACAAGGAAGAAUAUUGAGACUUCUAUUAUUAAAAUAAUUUUGGAAUAAGGCCUUCAUGCCAGGCCCAGAGUCCACAGGCCCUUAGAAGGGAAGGGGCUUGAGGAGUUCCUCAGUGCCUCCCCUUCCCUUCCAUUCUUCCCAAACCCAUCUCUUAAUGACUUAGCAAAGUUAAGAAGCAGACAGCUCCAGAGCAAGCAGAGCCAGCUAAAUAAUUUGCAGGACCCAGGACAAGAUGCAAAUGCAGAACCUCUUAUUCAAAAUGCAGAAAACAAUGUACUAUCAGAGGUAUUAGCUAUAAAGAUUUUUUCCUUUCUUCCACAGUCUUUUUCUUGACUUGCCAUGGUGUUGUGUUAAUUUGCUAUUUAAUGCCAUUAUAAAUAAAGAAAAAAUAAAAUUUUAAAUUCUUACCAUGAA